rnacentral:rRNA from 1 species
AUUGAACGCUGGCGGCAGGCUUAACACAUGCAAGUCGAGCGGGGUGAUGGUGCUUGCACUAUCACUUAGCGGCGGACGGGUGAGUAAUGCUUAGGAAUCUGCCUAUUAGUGGGGGACAACAUCUCGAAAGGGAUGCUAAUACCGCAUACGUCCUACGGGAGAAAGCAGGGGAUCACUUGUGACCUUGCGCUAAUAGAUGAGCCUAAGUCGGAUUAGCGAGUUGGUGGGGUAAAGGCCCACCAAGGCGACGAUCUGUAGCGGGUCUGAGAGGAUGAUCCGCCACACUGGGACUGAGACACGGCCCAGACUCCUACGGGAGGCAGCAGUGGGGAAUAUUGGACAAUGGGGGGAACCCUGAUCCAGCCAUGCCGCGUGUGUGAAGAAGGCCUUAUGGUUGUAAAGCACUUUAAGCGAGGAGGAGGCUCUUUUGGUUAAUACCCAAGAUGAGUGGACGUUACUCGCAGAAUAAGCACCGGCUAACUCUGUGCCAGCAGCCGCAGUAA